UAAAUACUCCUUCCGUCCCAUAUUAAGUGUCGAAAUAUUGCAUGUAUCUAGACGUAUUUUAAUAUAUAGAUACGUCCAUAUUUAGACAAAUUCGAGUCACUUAAUGUGAAACGGAGGGAGUAGCUU
rnacentral:pre_miRNA from 1 species